AGAUGUGAGGGCGAUCCGGCUACGUCACCCCAUUGAUGCCAAGGUUGAUUGGGCUGAUCUGGCUGGCCAAGCAGGUGUCCCCUCCCUCCCUCAGUACUGCAUAUGCAUCCCCGCAGAAGCUGUGCACUGUUGGAAGGGGACAGUCAGCCCUCCAUAGCCCUCUGUCCAGGGUGUAUGAGUAGCUGCGCUCCCCUUCAACAACCAGACAGGCACUCAAAAUAGGAAAAGGGCAGGGGCGGAGCUCAGCUCGAAGGCCCCGGUGCAAUCCCAGAUACGGCGGAGAAAAUGGGCAACUGUUUGCUUCAUAUUUU
ensembl:misc_RNA 7SK 7SK RNA